CGCUCAGUGAUGUAUGCUCUCUGCUGGCCGCUCUCCGAUCGCCUCAAUCGUCUGUACCGCCUCUGCUGCCCCGCCCCCAAACCGUCCUACCGCCCCUCUGCCACUUCUGGCGACGCUGCACCGCCGUCUAAAAUACACCUACAGUCCGACAACUCUAUGACGAUCUUUGAAAACCGUAAUCUCAAGACCCGAAAUUCCCAAAAUCUUUCUAACGUGCAUUGCUUUGAAUAAAGAGCCAGUUCUAUUCAUCAGCAACUUUGAACCCGUACCAAAAUUUCAUAAUAAAGUGGAAUUAGCAUCUUUAACAUGCUGCAAUUGACAAUAUUUCCUAGCUUAAGAC
ensembl:ncRNA lncRNA:CR44888 long non-coding RNA:CR44888